rnacentral:rRNA from 1 species
AGCGAACGCUGGCGGCAGGCUUAACACAUGCAAGUCGAGCGGGCACCUUUCGGGGUGUCAGCGGCGGACGGGUGAGUAACGCGUGGGAACGUGCCCUCUGGUUCGGAAUAACUCAGGGAAACUUGAGCUAAUACCGGAUACGCCCUUUUGGGGAAAGGCUUGCUGCCGGAGGAUCGGCCCGCGUCUGAUUAGCUAGUUGGUGGGGUAACGGCUCACCAAGGCGACGAUCAGUAGCUGGUCUGAGAGGAUGAUCAGCCACACUGGGACUGAGACACGGCCCAGACUCCUACGGGAGGCAGCAGUGGGGAAUAUUGGACAAUGGGCGCAAGCCUGAUCCAGCCAUGCCGCGUGAGUGAUGAAGGCCUUAGGGUUGUAAAGCUCUUUUAUCCGGGACGAUAAUGACGGUACCGGAGGAAUAAGCCCCGGCUAACUUCGUG